rnacentral:rRNA from 1 species
UACAGAGGGUGCGAGCGUUGUCCGGAAUCACUGGGCGUAAAGCGCACGUAGGCGGACUCUUAAGUCGGGGGUGAAAUCCUGGAGCUCAACUCCAGAACUGCCUUCGAUACUGGCGAUCUUGAGUCCGGAAGAGGUGAGUGGAACUCCUAGUGUAGAGGUGGAAUUCGUAGAUAUUAGGAAGAACACCAGUGGCGAAGGCGGCUCACUGGUCCGGUACUGACGCUGAGGUGCGAAAGCGUGGGGAGCAAACAGG